CUAUGUGUCGCCUGUGCUCUACUUUUUCCAUCUUCUCUCUGUGUUUUCCAGCCUGACUUUUCCUUUUAAUUUUCCUUUUUUCAAGUAUCCCUCAUCACUUUUUCACUGGAAAGGAGAAAAGGAUCCCUCAUGAAUUGGUAAAAUAUAAGGCAUGGAAGCCACAGGAGCUUGUAUUCUACUGUACAGUUUUUAGGUUAUGGUACAUCUAACUUGAUACGGGGUUUUCCCCUCUGGGAUAUGAUCUCUUAUAUGAUCCUUUGCUAUGUUAUUUUUAGCCAUGAUAGUGGUGUUGCUACAGAGGCAGCAAAGUCGGUUAGUCUGUCUAGCACUUUGGUUCAUGCUGAAAUACAAUAUAAGUACUGCGGCUGGAUGCAAAUGCCAUGCAUGUUUGUUGCAUUUUCCCAGAACAUGAGGAUGAACCCAGAACACCUAGGUGAUCCUUUGACUUCGCAACUGAUGCCACAAAAAGGUCACGAUUAUUGAAUAAAUCUACAGAGCACGCUUUCCAUACAAUGAAAACAUGUAGUGCCAGUGCAGGAGGUCUUGGCUGCUCCCUAGCAAGAAACCAAAGUUUGGAUCCCGUCACAAUCGAAAGGUCGAGGCUAACAAAGACAACACUGUAGCUGGAGUGAGCAGAAGGAGCAGAGGGUUUCUGCAUUUCAACAGCACAGAGACAGAAUAUAUCUGCUGGAAAUUCAGCUUCAAUAAAAUCUGUCUGGCCUUGAAUAGCAGAUCUCAAAAGCACCUGCUAGAUAAAGUGUUGACUGCAAACAUACCUGAAUUUUGCAGCCAAAAAGGAAUUAAAAAGGUGUGUUCAAGGCUGAUGGAGGAUGACCUGGUGUUCACAGUCACACAGGUUUUUAAAAAAAAUACAUUUCUUUACCAUUCCAGAGGACAUUUUAUCCCUGGACGAUGAAUGACAGGAAGGAAGAGUCGAUUUAAAUAAGUUGUCCUGCUGUAGCAACACAAUUUGCUAAAGGUACAUUCUGUAGAGAUAUCUUCUCUUUGCACCAAGUUGCUUUCAGAAAAACCCAGCUUGUAAUACCUUAAGAGCAUUACUAGAACACUGCUGCAUUAUUUAUUCCCCUUAUGCAUCAAAGCUAAAUUUGUAAAAUCAGUGUUAAAUAAAAUCAUACUCUGCUACUUUUUUUGUUUUGCCUGAAGUAGUCCAGUAAAAAUUCUUCAUGUCCUCAGUGAGUGGAAAUAUCCAGUGUGUGGUUUGAGCAGGGUGUGUCGGUCCACAUCUGCGGUCUUUCACCGAGUCAGAAAUGACUGCAUCAGCAUCCAGUCCUUUCCAUUUCCCUGACAGAGAGCAACUGUCUUAUUGUUUUCACCAUGACCACGAUCACACGAUGCUGUAGCUUUGAAUAUGUCAAACAUUCGUUCUGUCAAUUGUUGAUGGAAAUCCAAAGUGAUCAUUAUAGUCGGAGUUCUAGAGAGUGAAUCCACCCAAUUCAAGCUACAUCUGCCAUCAAUUUCAGUCCAACAUGCUUUUUCCCAAGACCUCAGUUUGCUGUGUCAUUCUGUAUCUGUUUAAAGUAAACUGUCUUUGUGGACUCCCACAGAUUGUGCAAUUUCAUGCAAAU